AAAAAGAGCACCAAAGACCCAGAUUUUGACAUCAUUUCCUGGUUGAACAAGAUGAAGCAGAGUAAUAAAUGGGUAGGCUUUACCUGAUUGGCUGAAUUGAGCUUCCUGGACCCGGGAGAGCUUGGUAUCUGAUCGGCGGGGGGCAUUUUCUCUAUAUAAGAAGAAGAUGGAGACUCGCUACCCACCCGAUAUAUUUUGUCGGACAGAUUUCUGUACAUUGCAGUGACAACUGUAUCCAGAUUUCAUCACAGGAAUGAAAGUUUUUCACUCUUUGGAAAAGCACCUGCAGCAGGGAGGGGACAUUCAUUAAGAUGGCCACAGAUUCUAAGACACUGAAGUGACAGGCCUCAAAUUUCAUACAUGUAUAU